GAGUUUGAUCCUGGCUCAGGAUGAACGCUGGCGGCGUGCCUAAUACAUGCAAGUCGAGCGAACGGACGAGAAGCUUGCUUCUCUGAUGUUAGCGGCGGACGGGUGAGUAACACGUGGAUAACCUACCUAUAAGACUGGGAUAACUUCGGGAAACCGGAGCUAAUACCGGAUAAUAUUUUGAACCGCAUGGUUCAAAAGUGAAAGACGGUCUUGCUGUCACUUAUAGAUGGAUCCGCGCUGCAUUAGCUAGUUGGUAAGGUAACGGCUUACCAAGGCAACGAUGCAUAGCCGACCUGAGAGGGUGAUCGGCCACACUGGAACCGAGACACGGUCCAGACUCCUACGGGAGGCAGCAGUAGGGAAUCUUCCGCAAUGGGCGAAAGCCUGACGGAGCAACGCCGCGUGAGUGAUGAAGGUCUUCGGAUCGUAAAACUCUGUUAUUAGGGAAGAACAUAUGUGUAAGUAACUGUGCACAUCUUGACGGUACCUAAUCAGAAAGCCACGGCUAACUACGUG
rnacentral:rRNA from 1 species